ACAGGCCAGCAUUCCCCAGCACUAUUCAUACAGCUCCCUCCUGCAUGAAAACCCCCUAGGCUCUGCCAAGUUCCCCACCAGUGCCUCAGCCCUCUUCUCUUUCAGGUAUAGAAGGAAAUCUAGAUGGUCGGCAUUUUGACUGGCUUUGUUCUCCGUGAUGCCCGCUUCCAUCCAAGAUAAAAGCCUGCUAAUUUGCCAGUCUCAGCAGUGGAGCUCGAAAGGGGAAAGAAGGGAGAUGAAUCAAAAAAGAUAUUGCUGUGAUUUAUGUCAAAGAGUGUUCUUGUCCUUCCUGAUUUGAAGAUGCUACGAUGCUGGCUUUGAUAACUGAAGAAGGGACCACAAGCCAAGGAAUGUAGAUGGCCUCUAAAAGCAGGGAAAGAUCCAUUUGAUUUCCUAUGCAGAAAAUCAAUCAUUUAGAUGUUUUGAUAUCUUCUUGCUAUAGACUGAAUUGUUGCCUCAAGUUAUUGCCUCCCUCACUUCCAAAUUCUUAUGUUGAAGUCCUAACUCUCAAUGUGAUGGCAUUUGAAGAUGGGGCCUUUGGGAGGACACAGCAAGAAGCUAGCUGUUUGCAAGCCAGGAAGCAAGAUCAUAACAGGAACCAAAUGGGCUAGAACCUUGGUCUGUGGUUUAAACCACCCAGUUUAUCAUAUGUUGUUAUAGCAACCCAAGCAGGUAGGCACACUUCCUUUCCAUAUAUUUACAUCUUCUUUUAUCUUGCCUUACUGCUCCAGCUAGAUCUCUAGUACAUUGUUGAAUCAAAGUAAUAAUAGUAGUAUCCUCACUAUAUUCCUAAGAUUAAAUGGAAUGAUUCUAGUUUUUGACCAUUAUCACAAUGCUUAUUAUAGAUUUGUGGCAGACACACUUUAUCAAAUUAAAGAAAAUUUCUUUAAUUUUUUUUUUGCUAAGGUUGUUGAAUUUCAUCAAUUGCCUUAUUUGCAUCUAUUAAGAUGACUAUAUGAUUUUUCUUCUUUCAGUAUUAAUUUUGAAAAAUGUAGCAGUAGAUUUAUAAUGUUACAACCU